rnacentral:rRNA from 1 species
UACAGGGGGUGCAAACGUUGCUCGGAAUCAUUGGGCGUAAAGCGCACGUAGGCGGUUCGUUAUGUCGGAUGUGAAAGCCCUUGGCUUAACCGAGGAAGUGCAUCCGAAACUGGCGAGCUAGAGUACUAAAGAGGAUCGCGGAAUUCCUGGUGUAGCGGUGAAAUGCGCAGAUAUCAGGAGGAACACCAAUGGCGAAGGCAGCUCGCUGGGACGGUACUGACGCUGAGACGCGAAAGCGUGGGGAGCAAACAGG